UUGGGCGUAAGAGCUCGUAGGCGGUUUGUCGCGUCUGCUGUGAAAGACCGGGGCUCAACUCCGGUUCUGCAGUGGGUACGGGCAGACUAGAGUGCAGUAGGGGAGACUGGAAUUCCUGGUGUAGCGGUGAAAUGCGCAGAUAUCAGGAGGAACACCGAUGGCGAAGGCAGGUCUCUGGGCUGUAACUGACGCUGAGGAGCGAAAGCAUGGGGAGCGAACAGGAUUAGAUACCCUGGUAGUCCAUGCCGUAAACGUUGGGCACUAGGUGUGGGGGACAUUCCACGUUUUCCGCGCCGUAGCUAACGCAUUAAGUGCCCCGCCUGGGGAGUACGGCCGCAAGGCUAAAACUCAAAGGAAUUGACGGGGGCCCGCACAAGCGGCGGAGCAUGCGGAUUAAUUCGAUGCAACGCGAAGAACCUUACCAAGGCUUGACAUGAACCGGAAAGACCUGGAAACAGGUGCCCCGCUUGCGGUCGGUUUACAGGUGGUGCAUGGUUGUCGUCAGCUCGUGUCGUGAGAUGUUGGGUUAAGUCCCGCAACGAGCGCAACCCUCGUUCUAUGUUGCCAGCGCGUGAUGGCGGGGACUCAUAGGAGACUGCCGGGGUCAACUCGGAGGAAGGUGGGGACGACGUCAAAUCAUCAUGCCCCUUAUGUCUUGGGCUUCACGCAUGCUACAAUGGCCGGUACAAAGGGUUGCGAUACUGUGAGGUGGAGCUAAUCCCAAAAAGCCGGUCUCAGUUCGGAUUGGGGUCUGCAACUCGACCCCAUGAAGUCGGAGUCGCUAGUAAUCGCAGAUCAGCAACGCUGCGGUGAAUACGUUCCCGGGCCUUGUACACACCGCCCGUCAAGUCACGAAAGUUGGUAACACCCGAAGCCGGUGGCCUAACCCUUGUGGGGGGAGCCGUCGAAGUGGGACCGGCGAUUGGGACGAAGUCGUACAGGG
rnacentral:rRNA from 1 species